rnacentral:pre_miRNA from 1 species
AAAAAGACAAACCCUGAGUUUUCGUGUCCAACUUUGACCGUUCGUCUUAUAUGAAAUUUUUUUAUAAUUCGUAUUUUCAUUGUUGUUAGAUGAUAAAACAUGAUUAAUAUUUUAUGCGUGACUUGUCUUUUUAAUUUUUUUCAUAAUUUUUUCAAAUAAGACGGACGGUCAAACGUUGGGCACGGAAACCAGAGAUUAUC